rnacentral:piRNA from 2 species
UGCAAGAGCAGACAAGAUGUGGGUC